rnacentral:rRNA from 1 species
GAUGAACGCUGGCGGCGUGCCUAAUACAUGCAAGUCGAGCGAACAGACGAGGAGCUUGCUCCUCUGACGUUAGCGGCGGACGGGUGAGUAACACGUGGAUAACCUACCUAUAAGACUGGGAUAACUUCGGGAAACCGGAGCUAAUACCGGAUAAUAUAUUGAACCGCAUGGUUCAAUAGUGAAAGACGGUUUUGCUGUCACUUAUAGAUGGAUCCGCGCCGCAUUAGCUAGUUGGUAAGGUAACGGCUUACCAAGGCAACGAUGCGUAGCCGACCUGAGAGGGGGACGGGCCAACGUGGAACUGAGACACGGUCCAGACUCCUACGGGAGGCAGCAGGAGGGAAUUUUCCGAAAUGGGGGAAAGCCGGACGGAGAAACGCCGGGGGAGGGAUGAAGGUCUUCGGAUCGUAAAACCUUGUUAUUAGGGAAAAACAAAUGUUAAAGUAACUAUGCACGUCUUGACGGUACCUAAUCAGAAAGCCACGGCUAACUACGG